UACGUAGGGGGCAAGCGUUUAUUCGGAAUUAUUGGGCGUAAAGGGCGCGUAGGCGGCUUUGCAAGUGGCGGGUGAAAUCCCUCGGCUUAACCGAGGAACUGCCUGCCAGACUGUGAGGCUUGAGACCGGGGAGAGGUGAGUGGAAUUCCCAGUGUAGCGGUGAAAUGCGUAGAUAUUGGGAGGAACACCAGUGGCGAAGGCGGGCUCACUGGACCGGAACUGGACGCUGAGGCGCGAAAGCGUGGGGAGCAAACAGG
rnacentral:rRNA from 1 species